rnacentral:lncRNA from 1 species
CCAGUCGAAACACGACCCGAAUUGGCGAUCUGAAAUGCGAUUGAUCUUGUACUUGCAAGACCAGGUUUUUACGGGCGUGGCUUUAAAAUGAAUUGAGACGAUAGGAUAACUAUACGUACAAGAUCAAUAUCAGUUCAGCUUUCUAUUUCUCGUCGUGCAUAGACACGUGGUCACUGUGCAUUGCGCGGUCGACCAGUCGAAACACGACCCGAAUUGGCGAUCUGAAAUGCGAUUGAUCUUCUACUUGUAAGACCAGCUUUUUACGGGCGUGGCUUUAUAUGACGUAAUUUGACCUUUGCCGUUCUCACAUUGACUUUGAGUAUACAUGUUUUUGAAAUAAGAUUUGGUAAUAUUCUUAACUCUGAUGCUUUCAACUAUAUUUAUAAUGUUGAAUGACUUAUGGUUAAAAUGAAUUGAGACGAUAGGAUAACUAUACGUACAAGAUCAGUAUAAGUUCAGCUUUCUAUUUCUCGUCGUGCAAAAAUAGACACGUGGUCACUGUGAAUUGCGCGGUCGACCAGUCGAAACACGACCCGAAUUGGCGAUCUGAAAUGACCAGGUUUUUACGGGCGUGGCUUUAAAAUGAAUUGAGACGAUAGGAUAACUAUACGUACAAGAUCAAUAUCAGUUCAGCUUUCUAUUUCUCGUCGUGCAAAAAUAGACACGUGGUCACUGUGCAUUGCGCGGUCGAUCAGUCGAAACACGACCCGAAUUGGCGAUCUGAAAUGCGAUUGAUCUUGUACUUAUAAGAC